rnacentral:rRNA from 1 species
GAGUUUGAUCCUGGCUCAGGAUGAACGCUGGCGGUAUGCUUAACACAUGCAAGUCGAACGGGGGUAGAAAUUCCCUACUGGCGGACGGGUGACUCACGCGUGACCAUUCUUCCUACUGGAUGGUGAUAACAGAAGGAAAUCGCUGCUUCUACCCGAUGUGCCGAAAGGUGAUAGAUUAAUUACCUGUUAAGGAUCUCGCGUCCAAUUACCUGCUUGGGGGGGUAAAAGCCUACCGGGGCAUACGAUCGGUAGGUGGUCUUAGAGGACGAUCAUACACACGGGACCUGACACACUGGCUAUACUCAUACGGGAGGACUCCUUGGGGAAUUUUCCGCAAUGAGAAACAGCCUGUGGGAGAAAUACUGACUGAGGCAUGAAGGCUCUUGGGUUGUAGACCUCUUUUCUCUGGGAAGAGCAAAAUGAUGAUACCUGACUAAUACGCGUCCGCUAACUCAGUGCCCGCCAGCACGGUAAUAAAGAUGAAGCAAGCGUUAUCUCUAAUCAUUGGGUGUAAAGAGUCGGCAGGUGGCAGUUCAAGUAUGUCGUCAAAGAAAGGCAGCUCAUCAACCAAUAGCAGGUGGAAACUGAAGGGCAGGAGUGCAGUAGAGGUGAGAGGGAAUUGACCAGGGUAGCGGUGAAAUGAAGUAGAGAUAGUGAAGAACACAAGUGGUGAAAGCGAUCAGCUGGACUGCAACUGACACUCGUGGACGAAAGGUAAGGGAGGGAAUCGGACUAGAUACCACAGUAGUCUAAGGCGUAAAGGAUGUAUAGUAGGUGUGGCGUGUAUGGUCCCUGGACAUCCCGUACCUGACACGUUAAGUAUCCCCCCUGGGGAGUACGCGCGCAAGCGUGAAAAUUAAAAGAAUUGACGGGGGCUCGCCCCAGCGGUGGAGUAUGUGGUUUAAUUUGAUGCAACGGGAAGAACCUUAACAGGGCUUAACAUGUCAGGAAUCGUAAUCAAAGAGAGGAGUGCCAUCGAGAGUGCGAACCCAGGUGGUGCAUGGCUGUCGUCAGCUCGUGUCGUGAGAUGUUGGGUUAAGUCCCGCAACGAGCGCAACCC